CCCUUAGAUGUUCUGGGCCGCACGCGCGCUACACUGACGAAUGCAACGAGCUUAUAACCUUGGCCGAAAGGUCUGGGUAAUCUCCAAAUUUCGUCGUGAUGGGGAUAGAUUAUUGCAAUUAUUAAUCUUCAACGAGGAAUGCCGAGUAAGCGCAAGUCAUCAGCUUGCGUUGAUUACGUCCCUGCCCUUUGUACACACCGCCCGUCACUCCUACCGAUUGAAUGGUCCGGUGAAGCGUUCGGACCGUGGCCUUUGGACGGUUCGCCGUCUGUUGGCUGCGGGAAGUUCGUUAAACCUUAUCAUUUAGAGGAAGGAGAAGUCGUAACA
rnacentral:rRNA from 1 species